UACGUAGGGGGCGAGCGUUAUCCGGAUUCAUUGGGCGUAAAGCGCGCGUAGGCGGCCCGGCAGGCCGGGGGUCUAAGCGGGGGGCUCAACCCCCCGAAGCCCCCGGAACCUCCGCGGCUUGGGUCCGGUAGGGGAGGGUGGAACACCCGGUGUAGCGGUGGAAUGCGCAGAUAUCGGGUGGAACACCGGUGGCGAAGGCGGCCCUCUGGGCCGAGACCGACGCUGAGGCGCGAAAGCUGGGGGAGCGAACAGG
rnacentral:rRNA from 1 species